rnacentral:miRNA from 1 species
CUGGCCACUCUGGGAGGCUC